UGGGGAAUAUUGGACAAUGGGCGCAAGCCUGAUCCAGCCAUGCCGCGUGAGUGACGAAGGCCUUAGGGUUGUAAAACUCUUUUGGCGGGGACGAUAAUGACGGUACCCGCAGAAUAAGCCCCGGCUAACUUCGUGCCAGCAGCCGCGGUAAUACGAAGGGGGCUAGCGUUGUUCGGAAUUACUGGGCGUAAAGCGCGCGUAGGCGGACUGAUCAGUUGGGGGUGAAAUCCCGGGGCUCAACCCCGGAACUGCCUUCAAUACUGUCAGUCUAGAGGUCGAGAGAGGUGAGUGGAAUUCCGAGUGUAGAGGUGAAAUUCGUAGAUAUUCGGAGGAACACCAGUGGCGAAGGCGGCUCACUGGCUCGAAUCUGACGCUGAGGUGCGAAAGCGUGGGGAGCAAACAGGAUUAGAUACCCCGGUAGUCC
rnacentral:rRNA from 1 species